UACGUAGGGUGCAAGCGUUAAUCGGAAUUACUGGGCGUAAAGCGUGCGCAGGCGGUUUUGUAAGUUUGUCGUGAAAUCCCCGGGCUCAACCUGGGAAUUGCGAUGGAGACUGCAAGGCUUGAAUCUGGCAGAGGGGGGUAGAAUUCCACGUGUAGCAGUGAAAUGCGUAGAGAUGUGGAGGAACACCGAUGGCGAAGGCAGCCCCCUGGGUCAAGAUUGACGCUCAUGCACGAAAGCGUGGGGAGCAAACAGG
rnacentral:rRNA from 1 species